GGGCCCGUAGUCUAGCCUGGUUAGGACGCUGCCCUCACACGGCAGAAGUCCCGAGUUCAAAUCUCGGCGGGCCCA
rfam:Sulfolobus acidocaldarius DSM 639, complete genome.